rnacentral:piRNA from 1 species
UGGAACUCAACUCUGUAGACCAGGCAGGCCU